ACGGAAGGCAGCAGCUAAGAAUAUUCCGCAAUGGACGAAAGUCUGACGGAGCGACGCCGCGUGGAUGAUGAAGGUCGGAAGAUUGUAAAAUCCUUUUAUAACUGAGGAAUAAGCAGGGUGAGAGAAACGCCAUAUGGUGACUGUAGGUUAUGAAUAAGCAACGGCUAAUUACGUGCCAGCAGCCGCGGUAACACGUAAGUUGCGAGCGUUGUUCGGAAUUAUUGGGCGUAAAGGGCAUGUAGGCGGUUUUGCAAGCUUGGAGUGAAAGGUAGGAGCUUAACUCCUGGACUGCGUUGAGAACUGCAAGACUAGAGUCACUGAGGGGCAAUCAGAAUUCCUGGUGUAGGGGUGAAAUCUGUAGAUAUCAGGAAGAAUACCAAUGGCGAAGGCAGGUUACCAGCAGAUGACUGACGCUGAGGUGCGAAGGUGCGGGGAGCAAACAGGAUUAGAUACCCUGGUA
rnacentral:rRNA from 1 species